UACGAAGGGGGCUAGCGUUGCUCGGAAUCACUGGGCGUAAAGCGCACGUAGGCGGCUUCUUAAGUCAGGGGUGAAAUCCUGGAGCUCAACUCCAGAACUGCCUUUGAUACUGAGGAGCUUGAGUCCGGGAGAGGUGAGUGGAACUGCGAGUGUAGAGGUGAAAUUCGUAGAUAUUCGCAAGAACACCAGUGGCGAAGGCGGCUCACUGGCCCGGUACUGGCGCUGAGGUGCGAAAGCGUGGGGAGCAAACAGG
rnacentral:rRNA from 1 species